UACAGAGGGGGCGAGCGUUAUUCGGAAUUAUUGGGCGUAAAGAGCUCGUAGGCGGUCUGUCGCGUCGGUCGUGAAAACUUGGGGCUUAACCCUGAGCUUGCGGUCGAUACGGGCAUGACUGGAGUUCGGUAGGGGAGACUGGAAUUCCUGGUGUAGCGGUGAAAUGCGCAGAUAUCAGGAGGAACACCGGUGGCGAAGGCGGGUCUCUGGGCCGAUACUGACGCUGAGGAGCGAAAGCGUGGGGAGCGAACAGG
rnacentral:rRNA from 1 species